rnacentral:rRNA from 1 species
GCUCAGAGUAUAAGCCAAUGGAGCUUGGAAGGCUUCCGCAGAUGGUGUCCAUCAUACGUGGUGUUCUUAAGACCUUGAGUGUGGCUCGUGAAGCGAAGCAUUGAGUUUGCCGACCAGCUGUCGUGCGGGGGGUUCAGCUUGGGAGGGUUGGGUUUCGGUCCAACAGUUUUCCUUCUGUCCCCUUUUGAAUGGACGUUCAGAGCUCUUGGUCUAAUGCGGUUAUGCCCACCACAGCACGUUGUGAGGUCACCCACAGGCUCAACUGCCGAUCGCGCAUCCAGGACGAUGGCAACGAUGCGUUGUCGAUGAUGGCUCGAGAGAGACUUCACUCACACGCGUGUCUAGUCCUGGGUCGGGCGGCGACCGAGAUAAACCUGGUACGAUCCUCUUGCGACGAGCUGCUUUCUGGCCAGACCGACGCCCGGACGCCUCCACUGUGCCGGAAGCGUCAACCCCAGGCGGUGUGAACCCAGCUGCAUUAUGCAAGGUCUCUCAGCCGGGCGUUGGUCUGAGUGGUGUUAAGUCCAGCACCAUCGGUCACGUCUCGAAACACGGGCCAAGGAGUAUAGCAUGUGUGCAAGUCUAAGGGUCUCACAAAACCCGAAGGCGAAGUGAAAGCAAGACUGUGGCGGGGGAGCUACGGCAAACCCGCCGGCCUAGUGGCGCGUGCGUCGCCUGGCUUUUAGCAGAGCUGAUCCUGUUUUCUCGGUUAAUUCUUGGUGCAGGCGCAAGCUCCGGGCUCACGUACAACACUGGUCACGCCUCGCG